UCAACGGGAGUUGUUUUCUAACGAUAUUUUGAGGUCUUCUUUCUUUAGUUACCUUUUUGGAGUUGAAGUAAAUUACUGUUGUGUAUUUUCGAGCUAUCGUCGAUUCCGUCGUAUCGUCGACGAUAUAUUAGCAACGAUAGUUUUUGGGAGCAUUACAGCACUACAUCUCUUUGGAGUAAAGUAUUGUGGAUUUACGGAGACUAAAAACCAAUGACGUUAAUGCGCAAACUUCUGAGAAAGCUAAAACCUGCACAAAGGUUAGGCUUAGUGGGAAGUCCUUUAUAAGGCAGGAAAGCGGAGUACUUUGAUUAUUCAAUCAAGAAUAAUGGCUUUAAGCCAAAAAUCACUUUACAAUUUAGGUGAGAAUGGAGCCCGGAUAUUGAUAAGCUUUUGUUAUGCCAGUGUGUUCUUUAUAUUAUGCUACAUAUUUUACAUUAUGCUUUAAUUUGUCUGUUUAUUGCCUGUAUGCCCACCAAGUUUUGCCUUUAGUGUAUGCUAAAAAAUGAUUAUUGAUGUAAUUAGCAAUUUAAAACACUAGUUUUAAAGCUAUGCAUUGUAUAAUCCUAUGCAAAUAUAUAAUGAAUCUUCUUGCCUUCACCAGUAUGUCUCCAUAAAUAUCCAAAUUAAUAAAUUUUGAAAGGUGUUUAGUACCAUUUAUUUUGAAA